GUGUCAUGUUGUCAGUAAUCACCCUCUAGGCUGGGAGAGAAAACCCUGUGGAGAAGAACGUGCACCGGUGUUGUGAGACGACCGUCUUUUAUAUACAUGCCCGCUCGCGGCUUUGGACCCCUACUCCGCCGAGUGGCGACGUGCCAACAAUAGCAAUACUUUCAGAGGUUCGCCCCUGUCUAGAUCUCUGGUCCGUUGUUUGGAAGAGAGGAGAGGGAAGCGUUCGAGUCAUUCCUGAGGUACAUACCCGGUGGCACAAACCUACCUGAAGUCACCCAGCGUGGUGGCACCAGCUGAGGCCGUGGAAGGCCCAACGUGCAGCAACUUCAAUCUGUACUUCUAUCCACUCUUGGUCAAAUUCGAGAGUCCUACAGGUCUGAGCUUGAGGCUCUGAGUCGUCGUGGGAGUGUUUCCACGGUUGGAGGUGACCGUGUUGAGUGUUGGUCUGGGAAGUCUGCCCCGGUGAAGAAGACCACAGUUGUCGUGACAUAUACACCUUCUCUAGACUCCCGAGCUGGAAAGGGCUAAAGCCUGACGUCCACCUCUUCGAGGGUCUGCGUUUCUAACCGUGGACCCAGAAUCUCGUGGCGAACGGCGUCAGGUACGCACCUCACCCAAUUCAUCAGAAUUACUUACCUUCUUUACUCUGCGUGCAGGGACUGGAAGGGCCCCACUGACGGUUCUCCUGCAGGAGAAACACAAAGGCACUACUGAGAAAAACCCUGUUGAGUCACGUGAAGGAAAGGACACAAAUUACCUACAGGUUUACCUGAGAGUCCCCGUGACAGAGUCAGAAGUGACUCGGACCUAUACUCUCUGGCCCCGAGAGUGGAUUUUAGAUUCCCUUUUCCCUUCCCUGCACACCUUCUAAAUAAUUUAAAUAAAGUCUGUUUUAAUUACA
ensembl:lncRNA